GAAUUGCAGAACUCAGUGAAUCAUCAAAUCUUUGAACGCAAAUUGCACUAAUAGUAAUAUUAGUACAUUUAUUUGAGUGUCGUUUAAUAAUCUAAUCAUUAUAAUAAUGAAUGUCUUUUAGUCAUUUUAACAUCAUAUAAUCCAAUUAU
rnacentral:rRNA from 1 species